rnacentral:rRNA from 1 species
AUCAUAAAAAUGAACUUUUCAUUCAAAUCCUAGAUUAUCAAAAGUGUUUGUGUAAAGUGCCGUCCCGUCUGCUCAGUGCGGCGGAAAAUAAAUUUCGCGCGCGCACUGUUGGACAGGCCGACCGAUGCAACCGUGUAUAAAAAAGGUAGCUCAAGUUUAGUUGGACANGUGCGAGCCACACCUCAGAAAAAAGGUUUUUCAUCGAAAUGAUCCAUCCGGUAGGGGGGACCUGCGGAUGGAUCAUUUCGAUGAAAAACCUUUUUUCUGAGGUGUGGCUCGCACCUGUCCAACUAAACUUGAGCUACCUUUUUUAUACACGGUUGCAUCGGUCGGCCUGUCCAACAGUGCGCGCGCGAAAUUUAUUUUCCGCCGCACUGAGCAGACGGGACGGCACUUUACACAAACACUUUUGAUAAUCUAGGAUUUGAAUGAAAGUUCAUUUUUAUGAUGGAUCCGACUGGUAAUGCGGUCGUCUAAAUCUAAAAAACAACUUUUGGCAACGGAUCUCUUGGUUCUCCCAUCGAUGAAGAACGCAGCGAAUUGCGAUAAGUAAUGUGAAUUGCAGAAGUGAAUCAUCGAAUCUUUGAACGCACCUUGCGCUCCCGGCAGAUCUAAUCUGGGGAGCAUGCCUGUUUGAGGGCCGCGAAUUGUUUCGAACGACAGCUUUUUUCAGUAAGAGCUGGCGGAUCGGUAUUGAGGGUCUUUUUUGCCAUUUACCGUGGCUCCCUUGAAAUGCAUUAGCGCAUCCAUUUGAUAGGCGAAAGACGGAGGAAAGCUCGAUUUUCGCCCUCUCUUCCCUGCCGGGUUUUGAUAAUAUCAGGACUUCGGAGGCGGAGAAAGGGUUAGAGCUGGACGCAACGACUUUUGCUGGUUGGAGUGCUUCUGAACCCCGCCCUUUCUAUUAGAGAAAGGGAUAUUUUCAAUUCAUCGGCCUCAGAUUGGUAGGACUACCCGCUGAACUUAAGCAUAUCAAAAGGCGGGAGGAAA